CCGGUGUCAGUCAGUUCCUUGAUGGAGGCAGAGGAACAUAGAUAAUGCUUCUGGCUGGCCCAAGGGAGCUGGAGUAACAUAGACAGCCCAGUUGUUGGCGGGGACUGGGAGAGCAAGAUUUAGGGCUCCUGGCUGGCUGCUAGGACUUGGUUGCUGUAUGCCCUGAGCUCUGUCCAGCCCUUACCAAAGAGGAGUGAUGGAACAGAACCUUGCAGCACCCCACAUAAGAGAGCAUUAAAGCCUGGUGAACAAUUGCCCAACAUCAGCCUCUGGAGCGUCUCCAAGGAACCACUCAAGCAUGAUUUCAUCCUCUUCAAUAGGAUCUGUAGGGUGACAACUGACCAUUGCUGGGGCCAACAAAUGGGAUACAACUCCCAGUGGUUUUGGAAUAAAAUACUCAGAGUAGCAAAGCCUGACGUGGACAAGGACGAGAGUCAGUUCCUGAGGUUUGAACCUGGGCUGCCACAUUCUGGAAGGGCAUGAAGGAAGUGCUAAGCUUCCUUAACUCUGCCUCAAUGAAGAUUUUUGGUAAUAAAUAUAACUCUGUACACACCCAAAUCACUGCACUUUUACUACUCUGUUAUUACUGGUUGCAAUUCUAAAACAUUUCCAGGGGACUGCUGCAAGAAAGGAACAUCAGCCUUAAUGAGUUUGCCAAAUUCUUCCUUUUCUGUAGAUAUAGCAGAAAGAAGAUGACUAAGUUUUAAAAGUUAUUCAUUAAUGGAGUUAAUCCACAAGCACUCCAAAGAAACAUAUAGGGCUAAUUCAGCACGUAUAUAUUUUGUGUGUAAAUUGAUAGGGCAUAGCAAGAUUGCUCUUGAGAACCUGAUAGUGGUGAAGCUAUAAGGCAUCUAGAACAGUCCUAUUCUCUGUUUUUUCCAGUUCUUCAUAUUCCUUAACGUAUCACAGUCCAAACCAAAUGUAUCUCAUGACGACAGGGAUAACAAACCCACACAGUGGUUUCGUUAUAUUUACUGAUUCAUGCCUUUUCUACAGGGCAAGCUAUGAAGCAACAUUUAACAUUUGUCACUUAUGUCUACGUUUCUCCAGGAAGAUUAAGUAUAUUAAUGAUGUGAAGAUCAUAUGAAGAACAUUCUGAAAAUAGUAAGAUCUCUGAACUGCCUUAAAGGUAAAAGUAGAAUUAUCACUUUCUCCUCCUUUAUUAGCAAUUGCUCAUAAUCUGUUGUUGCUUUUCUAACUGUUUUGAAAUUAGCAAACUUAAAAACCAAGCAGUCUAGAAACAUAGUUUCCAUCUGUGUAUCACAACUGUAAUCCCAGAUAGGCACAGCUGGUCAUAGCACAACUCACACAUUCAAAAUAUCUCUGUCCUCUGAAUAAGUCAUUUCAUUAUAAACAAUAGAAAAUGAAAAGUGGGUUCUCAGCUUGUCACUGAUUUCAGUCUUUGAAACUCAAAGGACAGGCAGGUUUCUCUGCAUUCUUUUGAUGUUGAGCUCCAGGGAUUGUAUCUUUUUGUUUUAAAUUACUCUCCAAAUAUGCCUUUAUAGUUGGGAGAUCCAUGAUGUGAAGUGAAAUGUUUGUAGUGGCAAAUGCUUCUCUUCAUUGAAGAGUUUGACCUGACACUGUUCCCAGUUUGCUGUAGAUUUAGGAAAUAAGUUGUGUAUAGUUCAUUGCACAAGUUCCACUGUCUCCAAAUCCUGAAAGUUCCAGUAGUUUGCCUUUGUGUAAGACAGCAUCUAAAUAUUUUUCAUUGCUGAUCAACCAGAACACUUCAGACAGAGCAGAAAACAUUUAUCUUGGUGAUGUGAAAACUCCAUUUCUCUUCUUUGUCCAUGCACUGAGUUGGGGUCACUUGAGCUGUUUUUCUCUGUGAAGCAAAUAAAAAUGAGCACU